CGUGUAGGCGGGCAUUUAAGUCAGGUGUGAAAGACCGGGGCUCAACUCCGGGAUUGCAUUUGAAACUGGGAUAUCUUGAGGGCAGGAGAGGAAAGCGGAAUUCCUGGUGUAGCGGUGAAAUCCUUAGAUAUUGGCAGGAACGCCGGUGACGAAGGUGGUUUUCUGGGCCGGUUCUGACACUGAUGCUCGAAAGCCAGGGGAGCGAACG
rnacentral:rRNA from 1 species